AUGGAAAAAAAUAAUAUAAAAAUUGAUUUACAAAAAUUAUUUUAUUUUUUAAAAGUUAUAAAAAAAAAUACGAAUUUUGAAUUUUAUUUAAAAUUGCAAAAUGAGUUGUUUAAUUUGUUUAAUAAUCCUUUAUUCAUUAUUUCGUUGAAAUAUUUUCAGAAUAAAGGGAAUAGUACGUAUCGUAAAAAGAGUAGUGACAAUAAUAGCGUAACAAAAAAGGAAAAGCAACUUGAGUACAAACAUGGAGAAGGGAAAGGAUAUGUUGCGGAUGGAAAAACAGAUUUUAAUUUUUUUACUCCACUUAAUUAUAAUCUAGAAAAUAACAAAAAUGAUACUAAUUUCAUUUUUAGUUUAUCUAAUAUAAGAAGUAAAAAUUAUAAUUUCAAAAAAUUAAAUUUAUUAGACUUUUAUAGAAUAAGUAAUAACAUAAUUCCUUCUAUAAUAACAACAGUAUCUAUGAUUACAUCACUAGCUGCGUUCGAGUUAUAUAAGUUGGUUUAUUUUUUAAUGUUAAGUAAAGAUAAGAGUUUGGAAAAUAUUUUGAAUGAACGUGUGAGAAAUGGAUUGGGUAAUAUUAAUCAUAUUAACAAUAAUAAAAUUAACAGUAAAAAAGCAUGUGAUCUCCAAAAUGAACUUUUAAAAACACCAAGUAAAAUAUACAAAUGUCAUACAUUUGGUAAUUUUAAUUUAUAUAUUUAUAAAGAUAAAAUAUAUGUAAAAAAAAAUAAUAAAAUAAUAUUUUCUUUUUUUAAUAUAAAAUAUGAAAAAUUAAAAAAAAUAGCUAAUUUUAUUAAUAACCAUUAUAUAAAUUUGCAAGACAAUUUUUUAACUUGCUCAGAAUUACAUACAGUAUAUGAUUAUUAUUAUAAAAAUGCAUCGUUAGAUUUUAUAAAAAAUAUGAAGUUUUCAGAGUGGAACUAUAUAUAUAUAGAUAUUAUGCUUAAUAAACAAGAAAUGAUAUUAUUCAAUGACAAAAAUGGUAGUGAUGGGAUUAGUAGUGGUGGGAUUAGUAGUGGUGGGAUUAGUAGUGAUGGGAUUAGUAGUGGUGGGAUUAACAGUUAUGACAGCUGUUGUGGUUUCCCCGCUUACUUGUUUUAUAAAAAACCAAACACAAAAUCAAAUGAACAAUUAAAAAAGGAAAUAUUUAUAUAUAUAAAAAGUAUUAAUGAAAAAAUUAAUAAAAUUGAUGCUAAAAUUGAAAAAGAAGAUUUACGAAAAAAUAAAAUAAAUAUUAUUAAAAAUGUAUUUGGUACAAAAAAAGAAACAAUAUAUACAGCACAUGAUAUAAUAAACAAAAUAAAAAAUGAUAUUUUAAAUAAUAUAUUAAAAGAAAUUUAUUUAAUUUUAGGGAUAAUAGAAGAAAAUAAAAAAAUAUAUAAAACAAAUACUGACAUUAGUGAGGACAUUAAUGAGGACAUAAGUGAAGAAAUUCACGUUUUGAACCAUAUCCAAGUAUUUAUUAAUAAUUUAAAGGAAAAAAUGGAUAAAAUGAGUCAACAAAACAUACUAGACAAUAGUAACAUGUCAAUUGAUGGAAAAAACAAUGUAAUAACAAUAAUUUAUAUAAAAAACAUAUUAAAUAAUGUAAUAAAAGAUUUAAACGAAGUAAAAGAUAUAUUAGAAGAACUUAAAAAAAAUUAUAUUUUAAAUUUUAAUAUAAAAAAUAUAAAUAAAAAUAAACAAGAAACAGAAGUAACAUUAAAUGAAUUGAUAAGUUCGAUUGAGUCCUUAUUUAAUGUUACUAUUCAAACAAUAGCGGUACAAGAUAAAAUUAUUUAUUCAAAAUUAUUAUUACCUAUGCAUGAUUAUGGGAAUAGUUAUUUAAAAGAUGUUUUAAAAAAAUUAUUUCUUAAAAAACUGACAACAGGUAUAUAUAUUUUGAAUAUUUUUGCCAUUGAUAAUGUAACUAAAGAAGAAGUUGCAUUACCCGACGUGCAAAUAAAUAUCCACACGUGA
rnacentral:lncRNA from 1 species